rfam:Oryza nivara chromosome 1, whole genome shotgun sequence.
AAAAAAUACAGUUUUGCACUGUUCAUAUCUAACGUUUGACUAUUCAUUUUAUUUAAAUUUUUUUAUGAUUAGUAUUUUUAUUAUUAUUAGAUGAUAGAACAUAAAUAAUACUUUAUAUAUGACUAUUUUUUUUAUAAAUUUUUCAAAUAAGAUGGAUAGUUAAAUAUUGGAUACGGAUAUCCACGGUUACACUUAUU